rnacentral:rRNA from 1 species
AUGCUGGACCUCGGCGGCCAGGGCCUCAUCUACCUAGACACCGUUGUCCCGAUGAAGCUCAUCGACCGCAUCAAGUCCGACUAUAAGGCCGCCCAUUCCGGGUACUGCACAACGUUCGAGGCGACGGCCGCCGUGCUGUGGCGGUGCCGCAGACGCGCGAUCAUCGGCGACGACCCCGACGGCUAUGACAUGUCCACGCCGGCACCGCUGGCCUUCUUCGUGAACGUGCGCAAGCACGUAGGCACGGCGGCGGGGUAUUAUGGAAACUGCGCGGUCGCGCAGCUGGCGUUCGCGACGACCGGAGAGGUGGCCGGCGCAGGGGACGAGGGCAUGAACGGCUUGGUGGACCUGAUCAAGCGCGCCAAGGACGGGGUCCCGGGGCUGCUGAGAGGCAUGAGAGCCGGCGGCAGCGCGGUGGACGGGAUGGGGGAGGAGGAGAUAGCAGCGGCGUUCGGGUACAACGCGCUGAUGGUGACGUGCUGGCGGACCAUCAGGUUCGACGACGCCGACUUUGGCGGCGGCGGGCCGGCGAGGGUGGUGGGGCGUUGGCAGCAGACGACGCUGCCGUGCGUGGCGUUAGUGUCCUGCGGGGCCACGGGCGAGAGGCUGCUGACGCAGUGCGUCAGGGCGGAGCACGCCGCCGCGUUGCUCGCCGAGCUGGACCAGCGCACACGCCUGGCCUGA